UUACAUAGUAAGCAGUGACAGUGCCAGCAGAGUUUCCGGGGACAAGUUUGAGCUGCAUGUCAAUUUUACCAAAGAGAUAUUCAUUCUUGGAUUGAAAACCAGAGCCAGAAAUUUUGUCAAGUGAGAGAGUUAGGAGGUCGCCAUUGUUGAGUAUUUUUGCUCUGCCAUCACCCCAUGUGAUGUCGAAUUCUUGAUCGAACUUGGCUGC